CUUUGAAAUGUAAAAAAUAUACACCCCUAUUGCGAGUGUCGACUAGUAGUAGAUAAACGACUGCUAGUCGAUUAUCGAUUUUCCGUGGUAUUUUCAAGUUCGUUUUCUAGUUCAAUAAGUGAGUGUGAAUAGUUUAUAGUCGCUCGUCUUUCUACAAAUAAACAAUUGGAGAAGGAUGAGCGAUUAAAAACUAUUCACAGUAGCUUAAUGAACGAGAAAUCGACUCUCACAAUACCAUGGAAAAGCGAUAAUCGAAUAAGAAUAUUUUAUCUACUACCAGUCGACACUCGCAAUAGGAGGGAGAGAGCAAAACACAUUUACUCUCAUUGUUGCGUUUGGUAUUAAUACAUCUGUACAUACAUUGCAUAUGAAUACAAACAUACAUUGGGCAUAGCUGGUAUUCACUCUUCAUCUGUAAGAAAACGAU